CCUGGGCCAUUAGCUCGGGUGGUUAGAGCGCACCCCUGAUAAGGGUGAGGUCCCUGGUUCAAGUCCAGGAUGGCCCAUUCGGUGUUGGGGGUUUAGCUCAGUUGGUAGAGCGCCUGCUUUGCAAGCAGGAUGUCAGGAGUUCGAGUCUCCUAACCUCCACUGACCGAACUCAAUCUCCAUUUUCCGUGUAACGGGAAAUGACUCGAAAUGAGGAGUGUGAUUUGGAUGAUGUCCGCUGGAUGACCCCAGCUUCCUGUCAUUCCAAGGAUGAGUGAGAACUCAUGAUUUGGUUGAUAAGAUGCUGGGCUCAAUUCAAGUUAUUGAGCAAUCAAUGAUUUGAUUUGGAGUCUGGCAGAACCUUGACAACUGCAUAGGUGAAGUCUGGAAAAACCAAAGCAUCUCAUGGAUGCAUUGUUUUGAGUCUGAGUAUCCGAAAGGAUGCCUAGAACCAGAGCAAUGAAAAUUCUUUUGAGCAAGAGCCGAGACUCUAAAAUGUUCUUCUUGUCGUGUCGAGCGACGAGGAGUUUGAUUUUGUUUUCAGUGUCAGUGAAAACUGAGGUUGAAAACAGAAGAAUCCGUCUCAACAACGGUAAGCGUUUUAGAGAUUAAUUGGUCAAGCUACAAAGGGCUCACGGCGGAUACCUUGGCACACAGAGGCGAUGAA
rnacentral:tRNA from 1 species